rnacentral:lncRNA from 10 species
AUCGCAGUUGCAUUCCUUCUCCCUCCACCAUGCACAGCCUUCGGUAUCCCAGGGCCUGCAGGAUCCUGACACCCGUUAGCCAGUCCAGUGUCUCCCAUCUGACACUUGCAAACACACUAACAGAAAUACACAUAACUGGCAGAUGAUAUACGUGUAUUGAGAGAAGCUCCCGCAACCUCCGGAGCUUGUGCGCGUACUUCAGGGACCGGCACCACGUCACCGUCACCUCCUGAGUAGUGAGUUCCCCUCUGAUGAAACCACUGGUGUGUUUACUCACCAUCCCCACCAUUUUUUUUUCCCCAACCUGAUGGAAGGAAGUACAUAAUGGAGAGCAAGUUUUUAAAGCACGGUCGUGUCGUGUGAACUUGCUCUAGCCAAAUUAGGUUUAUAGCACUUUUUUUGGCUCUCAUUACCUCCAGUCCCCACAUAAACAAGAGUGACCAGCUGGGUCAUCCGCAAGACCGUUUGAAAUUAUUGUGGCUUGGGUGGAAACUUAAAGGAGUGAAGUAUCUGCUUUCCAGAAAAAUCGUUGUCAUUCAAAGUGAAAUUAAACUUGUUUUCUUUGCAAUAAUUCGCCUUUAUUUCCUUGUAUAUCUGUAAACUCUUCACUUUUUUGUAAUUACUAGACAAUUCGGACUUAAAAAGAGCCUCAGCAUGUGUAUUUUGGAAUUGUGUAGCUUCAUAAUGUGAAAAUUAUUCUUUUCUAUUUGAGUAAAGUACAGUUAAUUUGAAGUAAAUAAAAUUUCUAUUUCCAUUGGUUGUUUCUUUUAAAAAGUCACCUUUUACUUACAAAAGAAUCACUGUAAUCCAGUUUACAUUUAUCAUUGAAGGUCAAAAGCAAGAAAUAGGAAGAAACACAAGCAUACUAUAAAAUAAAAGGUAACUGUCAUGUUUUUGAAGGUAAGGUGUUUUGACAUAUCAGCAGACAUUGUGUGAAUUUAUUUCAACUCCUAGUGGUACUGGUGUAGGUAGAAAAUGUUUUGCUUGGUUAUUCAUUUCAUCAAACACUCUACUUCACUGUUUUUUUUUCACUUCAGGAAAAUUCGAGGAGGAACAACACAUACUAGUGUCUUUCCUUUCUUUCUCCCCGUCUUCUGCAAAUAGUCCCUUCCUCUUCCUGCUUUCUCCUCCUUCUCAUGUUAACAUCUUCAACCAUAAGAUGGUGUGUUAAAAGAUUGAAUAUACCUCUAUGGAAUGACUUCCAGAGGGUGUAAGUCUGAUAUGAGAGUUUUAUUACCUUGAGUAUUUUACUGGAAGAGAUAGAACAACAAACAUUUUCAUAAUAAAUGUGUGGGUUAGGAGUGUUAGGAGAAAAUACACUGAUACUAUUACUUUCAAUAUUUGAUACUACUUACUUUGACUCUCACUGAACACCUAUUUGUUUAGGAUGAAUUCACUUUAAGCCGGGUUGAAGAACAAGCCUUUAAUUGUCCUAUUAUUUGUGCCAAAUCUAUUAUAAAUUUGUUAAAAAAUUUUUAAUACCUACCUUAGAGGGUACUCUAGGUAUUUAAUGAGCUAGCAUUUGUUAAAGGCUUGUAUAGUAAGAAUUCUUAUAGUAAGAGUUCUUACCAAUAGAUGGUAUAUUUUUUAAAUUGUCCUGUUGCAUCAAAAAGUUCAUCUUUAUUGGUAAUGUUGAUUAAGUUUGCCCAUUUGGUAGUUUGGUUUCUUUUAACUAUCUUACUAGAUUUUCUUACUUUUACCUGAAAAGUAGUCCUUACUAAUAGGCACAUGUUUUGUAUAUUUCCAAAAUAUGUAUUAUGUUAAAUUCUCUGUACACUUUAUUUAAAAAUUACAGACGUUGAGGGAAAAAAAAUACCCUAUUAAGGGAAGAAUGAGUUUGUGUAUAACUUGUAGAAGAAGGAGGCCACCCAUUUUUAGAAAAAUAUGGAUGGUAUUGAAAAUUUUGCCAUGGCAAGGGAUAAAAAGGACAGGCUUCUCUAAUGUGUCUGAAACAACAUUUGAAUCCCCUUUGUUCAUUCCCUAAAUCUGCUGCUCCUUUAGAAUUCCUGAUUUUCAUAAAUAGUACCACCAUUCACUUAUUUGCUCAGGCAUAAAACUUGGAAUUUUCUGAUUCUUCACACUCAUACAACUCAUCAGACAGUACCAUCAGUUCUUCCUGACAAAUACAUUCUGAAUUUAGCUACUUAUCACUUCCACUGGUACAACCCUUGGGAGCCACCAUCAUCUGUUGCUGGACCACAGCAAUAACCACACUAGUUGCUAUCACUUUCUAUCUGUACCCUCAUGAAUAUUUUCCCAUUUAAACCAUUCUCUAUAUACCAACCAAAGCAAUC